rnacentral:misc_RNA from 1 species
AAUCAUCACUAUUGUUAGCUCAUCUUUCUUCGCUAGCCUUGGUCUCGAGUAUCUCCCCUGAGUCGACAAUGAUAACCUUUUUCCUCGGUUUCCCGUUAUACGUCCCAGCACCCCCCUCGAUCGCAUACACUGUGUCCAUCCCUUGAAUAACCUCGCCAAAAACAACAUGCUCUCCGUCCAACCAGCUAGUCUUCACUGUCGUUAUGAAGAACUGGGAUCCAUUGGAGUCCGGCCCUGAGUUCACCAUCGAAACAGUGCCUGCAUGUGAAUGCUUUAAAAUGAAAUUUUCAUCAGGAAA